UCCAGCGGUUUGUCAUGCUAGGAACACAGCUUCUACAACUGCAGCUCCUUGACCACCACAACCACCGGAGUGUGCUUACGGGGAUGCAAACUAGUCACUUUUCGGCUGAAAUUCUCCAUUUUGAAUCCAAAAUAGGUGACCUACGUGAUUCGUCUAGAUCCGAUGAGAAACGUUUGGGCGAGCGGGGGGGGGUUGGAUGACUACUGGCUGUAUGCGAACGAGUGAUGCGCGUUGGGAACAAUACUGGCUGUAUCCAAGGCUCAGCCAAUCAUUCACAUAAACAACAGAAUGCAGCUGAAGAGAGAAGAGACAACCAAUUUGCUAGUUACAGCAUCAAUGCGCGCUCUGGAAAGACAGCGGGAGAGUGAAAAGGCAGUUUGUCAGUGAAUUUACAGCAGCGAGUCUCCUGAACGAUAAAGAAGAGACUUUGUUCUAGUGUGGGAGGUGAAACGGAGAAAGCGUCGCUCCCAAAAGAGGGGGAGAUUGGAGAACAGCAGUUGGGGAGGUCGGGAGAGGGCCAGAGGAGGAGAGAAGCAGGUCUGAAUGGAGAAAAGACUCAGCUGGCUCGAUGGCGGGACAAAUUCACCCAAAACCUGCAGAUUGCCGGCCUGCUGCUGGAAAAGGAGAAGACAGCGAGCGAGGAAAAAAAUCCAUCCAUUAUCUGAAACCAUCCAUUAUCUGAAAAUCAAUCCAUUAUCACAAACCCCCUGGGAUGUGUUGGUUUAUUACGCAGAGGAGCUCAUUCUAAGAGCGCCCC